GGAGGGGUAGCGAAGCGGUCAAACGCACCGGGCUGUAAACCCGGCGGCUUGCGCCUUCGGGGGUUCGAAUCCCUCCCCCUCCACCA
rnacentral:tRNA from 1 species